rnacentral:rRNA from 1 species
GUCCACGCUGUAAACGAUGGGUACUAGGUUUGGUGGGUCUUGACCCCCGCCGAACCGGCGCUAACGCAAUAAGUACCCCGCCUGGGAAGUACGGUCGCAAGACUAAAACUCAAAGGAAUUGACGGGGGGCCCGCACAAGCGGUGGAUCAUGUGGUUUAAUUCGAAGCAACGCGAAGAACCUUACCUGGAUUUGACAUCCUCGGACAACCCUAGAGAUAGGGCUUUCGUAGCAAUACGACCGGGAGACAGGUGCUGCAUGGCUGUCGU